UUAGUAUUAAGAUUCUUCAUGUUAAGAGAUCCCUAGUAAGGAGGCUGUUUGUUCUGUUCUAUGAAUAGAAAUUUUUCUUCCCCUUUUCCUUACCAUCCAAUUCCAAUGAUGUUCUUCAUCCUGCCAGCAAAGNNNNNNNNUUGAGCAGAGCAGUGAUUUACUGUGCCAUUUGGCCUUAUUUUCAAGCUACAAAAGGAGAUUGGCAUCUGUUCUUUUCCAUGCAAUGGGUAAAACAUGUCGGGAGUAUUAGCAUUUCUUUCUCCUUGUUUGAGUUUUUUUGUAAUGCAUUUCCCUGCUACUAAAAAUUUUAUUUUUGGCUCCAAAGGCUGUCAAAACAUAUCGGCAGUUGAGAAGAUGUCCCGG
rnacentral:misc_RNA from 1 species